rnacentral:tRNA from 1 species
UGCAUCGGCUGGGAAUCGAACCCGGGCCGCCCGCGUGGCAGGCGAGCAUUCUACCACUAAGCCACCGAUGC